rnacentral:misc_RNA from 1 species
UCAAACUUGGUCAUUUAGAGGAAGUAAAAGUCGUAACAAGGUUUCCGUAGGUGAACCUGCGGAAGGAUCAUUACUGAAGACAUUUGUUUGUCUCUGAAUUUUCUACCCCAUUUGGUCUUUGCAUGAUGUAAAAGGCCAAAUAUUAUUCUUCAAACUCCUGGAUAAUCAUUGAUUGUGUCUAAUUCUGAUCAGAUCAGUUGCAAAAGAUAAAAUGCAAUAUAAAACUUUCAACAAUGGAUCUCUUGGUUCUGGCAUCGAUGAAGAACGCAGC